AUGAUGUUGUUCAAGCCCACUUUCCCCUUGGCACCUCGAUCCGACAAUCUUGUUAAACGAUGAAACAGCAAAUUCUCUCUAGUUCAUCAGUAGGACCAAGAGUAGCGCGGGAGCCGAGCUACGCAGGAUCCUAUGAAAGGAAAGGAAAGGAAAUAACAGCAGUCGCUUCCUUAUGACUGCCUAGAAACCUUUCCAUGGUCAAUGCCACGAUCAGUGAAUUAGGUUUCUUGUCUGUUGUUUAAAAUCGUGCACGCCAUACACGUUUUCUCUGCGAAUAUGUUGCUGUGAAACUCAUGGAACGCCAAGUGCGAACUUUCCUCAAGUAUGAGUUUUACGAAACAUCGCAAAGGUCGUGGAGGAAGCGGCAGGGGUCAAAGAAAUUACAGACCAGGCUCCAGUGCAAGUCCACCACCACAGACAAUUAAUUUUCCCAAUGGAUUUUGGAUUAUUUAUGGACCAUUUCUUGAAAUCUGAGAGAUGUUCCUUGGAAAUGAGGGACUGGUGCCAAUUUUCGGCCUUUUAUCCAAUGGAAGUACAAUAAAUGUGUUUCUAAUGCAAGUGGUAAGAAACAUAGAUUUUUGAAUAUUUUUUUGAAAUUUCAAAUAUACCCAUGUAACCCCUAACCCAUAACAGGCCAGGUGUAGUAGUAACGGUAAUAGUUUACUUAAUGUCAAAAACGUGGGAAGUGUAUGCACAAUCUUCCGAGCCAGAGGCUCAUGUUAAAAACGCUCGACAACAAAUAAAUAAGAUCUAAGAACUAAUUACAAAAAUGAGGUAUUAAAAUGCUAGUAAAACUUUAAAUACUAAUCCUUAAAAGAGAUUUACAAGCAGGGGUUACAAGUGCACCCUUUAAAUUCCACUUUAUACCUAAAGCAUUUAUGAGAACGAGCAAUGGUCUCACAUUGUUUAACACAGUUUGGCAAAUUGUUCCGAUAGUGUGAAACAAUAUAAGAAAAUUAUGUAGAUAACGACUAUUAUACGAAAAUUGCUGCACAUUACUAUUAGAUCUUAAAUUAUAGUAUGUGAUGCAUAGCUUGAAAAAGAUUGAGGUGUAUGAAGGAGCGAGACCAUUAAUUGACUUAAGAGUGGCUGCCUGUAAAAAUAAGACAAAUUCAUAAUUUCGCGGCAAGGGUCGAAAAUUCGAUUUUGCUCAUGUUCCUAUGGUAGAUAGGCUAGGGCAUGACAAAAA